rnacentral:lncRNA from 1 species
UCACCUGCCACUGUUCCUGCAAGCCUUGUUUCCUGACUAGUGCUACCUCAUCUUGUCAAAUCUCGGUGCUCAGCGGGGGCAAGGCCAAGUGCUCGCAGUUCUGCACCACAGGCAUGGACGGUGGCAUGAGCAUCUGGGAUGUGAAGAGCUUGGAGUCAGCCUUGAAGGACCUGAAGAUCAGAUGAGCUGUGAGGAGUGCUGUCCUCAUCCCACAUGCUGGGGAGGAGGGAAAGGGGUUGGGGAGGCUAAGGGCUGCUUUGCUGAAUGCUUCUAGGGUGUAGUACAGGUCUGCAAAGGGGAUGCUCUCUCUCCAAAGAGGGGAAGAGGAAGGUGGGGAACUUUCCUAUUUAAUGAAAAUGUGCCUUUUAAAGAGAUGCUUUCAUUCAUUGCAAACCAAAAACAAGACAAAAAACCCAAAGCACAAUGCUGGUCAUAAACUGCUUCAAAAUGUGGGCUAAUAAACAUACCAAAUGUG